rnacentral:rRNA from 1 species
AUUGAACGCUGGCGGCAUGCUUUACACAUGCAAGUCGAACGGUAACAGGCCGCAAGGUGCUGACGAGUGGCGAACGGGUGAGUAAUGCAUCGGAACGUGCCCAGUCGUGGGGGAUAACGCAGCGAAAGCUGUGCUAAUACCGCAUACGAUCUAUGGAUGAAAGCGGGGGACCGUAAGGCCUCGCGCGAUUGGAGCGGCCGAUGUCAGAUUAGGUAGUUGGUGGGGUAAAGGCUCACCAAGCCAACGAUCUGUAGCUGGUCUGAGAGGACGAUCAGCCACACUGGGACUGAGACACGGCCCAGACUCCUACGGGAGGCAGCAGUGGGGAAUUUUGGACAAUGGGCGAAAGCCUGAUCCAGCAAUGCCGCGUGUGUGAAGAAGGCCUUCGGGUUGUAAAGCACUUUUGUCCGGAAAGAAAUGGCUCUGGUUAAUACCUGGGGUCGAUGACGGUACCGGAAGAAUAAGGACCGGCUAACUACGUGCCAGCAGCCGCCGUAA